UUAAUUUUACUUCAAUUUUGCAUUUUUAAUUUUAAUUUAAGCUUGUUUUAUUACUUUUGGUUAAUUCACCAGUUUCACAUCAUUUGGAAUUGUUUUAGACAGGAUCUGAGGUGUUGAAGUAGCUAAAAAAAAUGCACAAAACUUUAUUAAAACGACUUUCUGAUCAAAUUUGCACUCAAUAGUCCCAUAGUGCGGACCGCGCUUGUUUUUCUGGUUUAGAUGGUGCUUGUUAAUUUUAGUCCAAGAAAGUGUUUUUAUGUUUAGUAAAGUAAUGCCUAUGCAUUCCUUCCAACUCUUGCGCUUGUUUCUCAAUUCCCCACGCCCCUCCACCUCUCAACAUGCUCACACACCGCAACUCUUAACCCCGACUCUCUGCUUCUCACGCAGUUGCUCAUACCACCGGUGAUUACUAGGUUUUAUGUGAUUUAGAAGUGAUCGGGAUGAAACUAAGUCAAAAGAGGCCAAAUUGAAGAAAAUGAGAAAACUGGCUAGAAGUGCAAAAAGGGGCCAGCAUUGCAAUUUCAAAAAUCUGAAAUAUGAAGGGCUAUUUUCGUCAUUUUUUUAUGGGGAAAAUUGAGGAUCUACAAAAACAAGACUUGGGGGAAAUUUCUCACAUCUUUGGCCAUUCUUCCAAGUUUAGGAGCAAGAAACUACACCUAGGGUUUGAAGAUUUUGAGGCACUCAAUGAGAAUUUCUUUACCCAUUUCUUCAACUUUUGCUUUUAUUGUAUAUCUAAGUGUGUAGCAUUUUAUUCCAUCACUUUAAUCUUGUUUAUGCAAACAUUCAUAUGUUAAAGUUUGGAUCGAAUCUCUUGUUUUGCUUAUGUAUUGAACAAUUUUUAUUUCUAAUGAUGUGGGUUAAUGUUUCUC